GACUACCGGGGUAUCUAAUCCCGUUUGCUCCUCAAGCUUUCGUCCAUCACCGUCAGAAAUAUCAUAGUUAGCUGCUUUCGCUUUCGGCGUUCUUUCCGAUAUCAACGCAUUUCACCGCUCCACCGGAAAUUCCACUAACCUCCAAUAUUCUCUAGAUAUACAGUAUCUAUUCCCUUUCCACGAUUGAGUCGUGGUAUUUGAAAACAGACUUGUAUAUCCGGCUACGGACACUUUACGCCCAGUAAAUCCGGAUAACGCUUGGGACCUACGUAUUACCGCGGCUGCUGGCACGUAGUUAGCCGUCCCUUAUUCUUGGUGUACCGUCAUUCGUCUUCCACCAAAAAAGGAGUUUACACACCGUAAUGCGUCAUCCUCCACGCGGAAUCGCUGCAUCAGGCUUUCGCCCAUUGUGCAAGAUUCCCCACUGCAGCCCCCCGUAGG
rnacentral:rRNA from 1 species